rnacentral:antisense_RNA from 1 species
CUUCAAUGACCCCAGCCACAGCGGCUGAUCCUCCGGCCGCUCCUGACCGUAGGUGGCCAGGAGUGCCUGGGCCUC